rfam:Sphingomonas melonis TY scaffold3, whole genome shotgun sequence.
UCAGAGGGUCGGGCGGCCGCGGGCAUCGCAAGAUGCGCGAGGAAAGUCCGGGCUCCGCGAAACGACGGUGCCGGGUAACGCCCGGCGGGGGCGACCCCAGGGACAGUGCCACAGAGAGCAGACGGCCACUCCUUCGGGACGGUCAUGGUGAAAGGGUGCGGUAAGAGCGCACCGCGCGACCGGUAACGGAAGCGGCACGGCAAACCCCACCGGGAGCAAAACCGAAUAGGGACGGCACAGGGGCUUCGUUUCAGCUCGUCGUCCGGGUUGGUUGCUGGAGGCGGCGCGCAAGCGUCGUCCUAGAGGAAUGGUCGCCCAGUCCCUUCGGGGAUGGACAGAACCCGGCUUACAGACCCUCUGGCGUU